AUUGAAGUAAAGAUUUUGAAUAUGGGAAAUAUUCACUUGGCAUGAUCUGCUUGGGAAUAACAAAUCACCUGAGGCCUUUGAGUAUAAUUUUUGCCACGUAGAGUUGGAUUUCGUGUAGUUUGUGGUAAUGGACUUAGGUUUCCAUUUUCUUCUUUGAUAUAAGUUAUCAGGUGAACAAAAGAAGUGCUUGUCCUUUGGCACGCCAGGCACUUUUCUUGCUCACAUCAUCUGAUGGAUUUGAUCUUCCUUUGUCCUUUUCAUCAUCUUUCAUUGUCUGUUCUGAAGCUCAGCUGACUUGGUGUGUCCUGAAUCAAUUAUUUCACUGCUUCUUGUUAAACUCACAAUUUGUAUAAAAUCUGCUUGUUUGUGUCAGUUAUUGACCUGUUUUGU
rnacentral:misc_RNA from 1 species